GCCACAAGAUGAAAAGAUCGCAAAGAUUCAGUCUGCACCUCGUCCAGAGACGAAGAAACAAAUGAGAUCAUUCUUAGGACUUGCCGGAUAUUAUCGCAAAUUUAUUCCCAACUACGCGGCCAAAGCAUCACCUCUCACAGACAAAACUAAAAAUUCAGAGCCGAACAAAAUUACAUGGGAUGAUAGUUCUAAGAAAGCCUUCGAAACACUGAAAGCUAGUCUAAUCAGUGCACCCAUACUUCAUCUACCAGACUGCAAUGAACCAUUUGUACUUAGAACUGACGCGUCCGAAGUCGGAAUAGGUGCUGUACUAUUACAAGAACGUGACAAUCACUUAUUUCCCGUUGCAUAUGCAAGCCGCAAACUCCUGAAUCGAGAAAAAGCAUACUCGACGAUAGAAAAGGAAUGCUUAGCGUUAGUAUGGGGCGUACAGAAAUUCCAGCGCUAUGUUUACGGAAAACCGUUCGUGCUUCAAACUGAUCAUCAGCCUUUGAUGUACCUGCAUAAGUCUAAGGUCGCAAAUGCCAGAAUUAUGCGGUGGGCGCUCGCUCUGCAGCCUUACAGAAUUCGCAUCCAGGCAAUCAAAGGUUCGGAGAACGUAGGCGCUGAUUAUCUCAGUCGAAAUGUGUGAGCAAUAACAGGCACCUGUUUAAGGUUAAAGCAGCGAACCCAAUUAUUACGGUACACGGAAGAUAGGUUUUUAUGACGUUGUAAAUAUAUUUUUGUAUAUAACGAAAUGAUCGCAGUUUUUACUUUAAUUCGCUCUUUUUUGAAAAUGCGGUGCAUUUUCUUUGAAUGGGGGUUAUUUGUAAGAAGUUUUCGUGUAUUUUCCCCCUUUUCGCGAAAUGGUAUAGUCUCAAAAGUUUCUUCCAAUAGCACUAACUGCAUUUAUCACAGAACCGGUCUUUGUUACUCUGUGCGCGUUAUGUAACCGUUUUUUUGCAGCAAGCUUUUUCGGUAGUUGUGGGUUUUCUCUCCAGCAGCAUUACAAAAGCCAUGGUUGUGUGUAAAUUAGGUGUUUGCAACACCUUUGGUGAAUAAUAGAAUUCAGGUGUUUAAACAAAAGUUACUAGGGAGUUGCUUUGCCAACAGUGAAGGAACAGUGGAGUGAUUGGGUGUGUGUGGGUUUCUGACGGAAAAGUGAGAGUGAUCAUGAAGGAAUCAGAUCAGAGCAGACCAGAUCGUGGUAGAAAGCAGAUGUGAUUUUGAAGAAUUGUCUUGUGUGUGUCACUGCAUGAACCUGAGCCAACAGGCAUAGCAAAGCUAUAGCAGGCAGUUUAUGUUGAAUAGUUGAGAGCCUAUUUGAGGCAGUAAUAUUUGGGCUUGAAUUUCAAGGCCCCAGUGAGCAGUUUUGUGCUCAGUUAAACACACCAAGGAGAUCUGGGAUUUCAAGAAACCACACAACCAUGGCUGUCUGGUGAAGGACAAGGGACGAGCUGUAGCCAUUAGCUGGGCAUCGAACUGGUGCGGCUGUAGGACACCCAACCCAGGAGGCGGUGUAUCCAACGAUCAACCGGCAUCAGACGAUUCAAGACAGUACCGUGGGCUGAUAUCCUUAAAACGCCUGCUCCUCCCAUUUAAAGACCCUUGUAUAGAGUAAAAUAAUUUAAAGUAACUGCAGAGUGGAAGUUUGUUUAAAGAUUAAUUGCUAUUCAUUUAAAAGGAAACACGAAGGACAUAAUAUGAUCUAGAAUGUGAAUUAAUGUAACAAGUGAAGAAAUACCGGCCUACCACAGUUGUAAAUAAGUGUAAAUUGUUUGUAAAUAGAACAGAUAUACUGAAGGAAAAG
rnacentral:lncRNA from 1 species